rnacentral:lncRNA from 1 species
CGCCAAUAAGAGGUUUGCUUUGCGGCACUUGAAGGAGGAGGGCUUUCUGGAGGGUGGCACGGGUCUCAAGUACCCUGAAGUCGGCUAAUUCGGCUCGCUUGGAAUAACAGACAUUUAACACCUUCCAUUGUUCUGGGCCUGGGCCCCACAGCCCUGCUGGGACUGGGGGGCCGCGGGUUGGGUUCCUCCGGUUCACAGGGGAGGCCGCCCUCCUCAGCACCAGGUCUGAGACCCAGUCUCCCCCUAGCAAGCCUACCAAACCCGAGGGAUCUCCACACCCCACACCUGCCUCCUUGGAGGAGGAAGCGGGGCAUGGGAUCUCGUAGUGUCAACAGCCCCUUAAGCGAUAAUCCUAGACGUACUUGCCCCUCAUGCCUUUUCUUAUAUUUGCCGUUUCAGUUCCUGACGAGUGGGCGAUCUGAAAACCACCACAUUUCUUCCUAUUGUAAAGGUGGACUCCAUCCGUAUCUCUGACUCUUCUGUGCCUCCCUGGGGGUCCCAGCUUGGUGGGAGCCCAGUGUUGAACUGACCCUCAGCCACCGCUGACCCACUGCAGCAAGAGAAGGUGUGUGCCUUCAGUGCUCUGCUUUGGGCCCGGAGCAAAAUCAAGGGAGUCUUAGGAUCAGGACUGGAGGAACUGCAAAAGGAGAAGUGUGAACAGCCAAGAAAAUGAACGUGUGUGUGUGUGUGUGUGUGUGUGUGUGUGUGUGUGUGUGGGCUGUGCGGGUAUAUUUUCAUGGGGUGGGAGCUGGAGAGGGGGGCUGUUUAGUUUAGGCAAAGGCUCAAGCUGGUCCUUGCUGUUAGCAGGAAGCCCAAAUGGGGAGCCAGGAAAAGACCCCAGGGAUGCCGCACGCCUCGGACAACGGCGUUCCUCCCUUCUCGUACCCCGGACUUGUACGCUCACAAGAAUUUGCAGGACACCGUGCCGUGCGGGCGCUGUGCUGGCCCAGGGUGCCUGGUAAGGACAGCCAACACUGACAGGCCCCCCCCGGGGAGCCGUCAGGAGCGGGCGCGUCUGAAGAAUGUCACCUCCGUUAACCGCUGCAACGCCCUCACCUGCCCCCUGAGCUCCCAGCCCUGGCUGUCCCCAGGGCACCUAGGUGUGUG